UACGUAGGGUGCGAGCGUUGUCCGGAAUUAUUGGGCGUAAAGAGCUUGUAGGCGGUUUGUCGCGUCUGCUGUGAAAAUCCGGGGCUCAACCCCGGACUUGCAGUGGGUACGGGCAGACUAGAGUGUGGUAGGGGAGACUGGAAUUCCUGGUGUAGCGGUGGAAUGCGCAGAUAUCAGGAGGAACACCGAUGGCGAGGGCAGGUCUCUGGGCCACUACUGACGCUGAGGAGCGAAAGCGUGGGGAGCGAACAGG
rnacentral:rRNA from 1 species